rnacentral:lncRNA from 1 species
UUCGGAUAGCCCCAAAAAUGGGUUUAAUACCUAUUUAUCGAGGGCUUUUUGAAUUGUCUAUCUCAUUUCUUGAUAUCAUGAAGGACAAACAAAGACGUCUUAUUUUCUUCAUGAAUAUUGUAUUUAGAAUUUUUCUAAAAAUAGUCGCUAGAAAAAGCGACUUUCUGUCUAUUGAAUAUUUACUUUGAGUGCAGGUGCAUUCAAGAAAGUCGG